UAUAGAUAAACAUUUGAAAAUGACCGCUGGUUUGAUCAUUUGGACAAUUUGUACAGGUAAAUAAAAAGAUUGCAAGCAAAAACACCAACUACAGAACAGGACCCUUUGCAGGUAACCUGGUUACAAGAAAACAAGAAAGCUAAGAACUACCUUGACUACCUCUCAUGUAUCUAGGAGAGCUUUCAGCUAUCCUCCUAAACUUUGAGAUGCUUUGAUUCCUAUAAGUGUCUAAUGUCUUACUAAUCUAGAUACAGAAGCUUUGCAACAUCCUUUUUGUAGCAACUUCUCGCCUAACUGAGCCCCAGAUGAUAGCAGCUCGUAGCUUGCACCACCCUGCUUUGGAUUUUUCAAGACAAAAACUUGGGUGAGAAGAGAUGAUACCUAGUUCUCCUUCAUUAUCUGAACUGAAAUAAAAAGUAUUUGCAGGAGACCAGGUUGAUGUUUGUGCCUGGGAAAUGUCCUCAGGAGUUGGUUGACUACUUGUCACUAGUGGCCAUUGUGAUGAACUUGUAGACCAAUUGUUUUCUCCAGGGUAGGGAACGGAAAAGAUGUCCCUGAAUUUGAAACUGUUCCUUAGUGUUGAAGGAAACACUUGCAGUGGAUUAGGAUUCUGUGCUCCAGAAAAUUCUAACUGAUUGCCCAUGGGGUUGAAAUCUAGCAGCAUCUCUGCUUGAUCUUGGCGUGCAACUGGGAAUUCAAUUUGCUGCAGACUGGGAUUUGGACCAUUGAAUGACUCAGUUUGUGGGCAUGCCAAGGACCUUGAAGGGCCAAAAAUGUCACGAGCAUCAAUCAGGAUAAAGCAAGCCACAUUCUUAUAAGCUUGUUGCUUUAAACUUUCCACCAGGGCCCUUUGAGAAGGAGCGAGUUCGUCCAGAGGCUUAUACAUAGGGCCAUCAAAUGCUGCUCCUAUGAGCUUGUACACAGAAUUGAAAAGAAGCCCAACACUUUGUCCAGCUUCAAAGUAAGUGUAAAACUUAUCAUCCAGAACACAUUCAUUUGCAUGAUCCAUAAUUAUAUCCCAUAUCUUGUUUGAAAUUCCACAUCCAAGCACCUUCCUUAGUUCAGAUGGAUUAAUUGCAUAUAUCUGCAGAAAGUCCCUCACAGUAUGAAUUCCAUAUUCAGCCAACUUUUUGUGGGAUGCACCGCCCUUUGCUAUUCUUUCCAAACGCCAGAUUUCAUCAUCCAAACUUGGAGGGUGAUGUUUCUUGUACAACUCUCCGCGAUGAUCCUUUACCACAAAAGCUUCACUCCUAGCUUCCCUAAUCCUUGCUUCACCACAAGUUUUAGGCACAGGUCUAGCUCCAAGCCGAAAUUUUCGACUCCUUUGCCAACUAGAAUUGUCAGUGAAAAUUAUAUCACUAAUCAUGCCAAUUCCAGCUCUUAGUGUAACAUUUAAAUCUCCUCCAGUCACCAGAGGCCUUCUACCCUCUCUUUCACGGAUAACAUUGGCAUUGAAUUCAUUUUCACUCCAAUCUUCUCGGUCAUCCAAACCGAAAUCACCAUCAAGGACAAGAAUCUCAAUCUUCAUAGAAGACAGAGGACCAGAAGUGACGAGGGUCUUGCUAUUAGCAUCCAACAAUUCAAUCCUAAUGGGGUUACCAUCCUCAGUUUCUAUAUUGCUACCAGUAAAUAUGGUAGCGGGUGGUCUGUUAACGAAUUGCAGCAGAAAGCCUCUUGCUCCUGAUGUGUCAGUCUGAUGGAACGAGGGUCUGAAGGACGGUUGAAAUUGAAGGACUCGUUGAACAGUCCGUUCCACCUCAUCUCGCACCACUAGUCUGAGGAAAGGUUCAAUCCUAGUAACCAUAUCCUGCAUUGAAAGCAAUCCCAAAACAUCUCUGAUGGCAUUCUUUAAACGCUUUGGGUCUUGAGCUGGAGAAUCAGUCCCAUCCUCAGAAUCACCGUGAAAAGGCCUCUUUGGCACCAUUUACAAGACUCAAACAAGAAAUGUACAGUUUGAAGUUGCAAAUUCUGGUACAAAGAGCAAGAGCAACCAACCCAGACAAUCUUAUAGGGUAUAAAUAAGCCAAUUUUAAAGAUUUACUUGCGAGAAAAGGGAUGAAGAAGCUACAUAGAAGUUUCAGUACACAAAACUCUACGCGCUAAUCCAUGCACACAAAAGUCAAGAACCGAAGUGAUAUUCAAAAAGUUGAAAAAGAGCUAACAAGAAGAAUAUAUUUUCUUGUAAACCAUAAACAACUCAAAGAACUCUCUAUUUGGAUACUCCGAAGUAUCAAAAAAUACAACAUAGUACUUAUCGGCUG
rnacentral:misc_RNA from 1 species